AAAUUGAAGAGUUUGAUCAUGGCUCAGAUUGAACGCUGGCGGCAGGCCUAACACAUGCAAGUCGAACGGUAACAGGAAGCAGCUUGCUGCUUUGCUGACGAGUGGCGGACGGGUGAGUAAUGUCUGGGAAACUGCCUGAUGGAGGGGGAUAACUACUGGAAACGGUGGCUAAUACCGCAUAACGUCGCAAGACCAAAGAGGGGGACCUUCGGGCCUCUUGCCAUCAGAUGUGCCCAGAUGGGAUUAGCUUGUUGGUGAGGUAACGGCUCACCAAGGCGACGAUCCCUAGCUGGUCUGAGAGGAUGACCAGCCACACUGGAACUGAGACACGGUCCAGACUCCUACGGGAGGCAGCAGUGGGGAAUAUUGCACAAUGGGCGCAAGCCUGAUGCAGCCAUGCCGCGUGUAUGAAGAAGGCCUUCGGGUUGUAAAGUACUUUCAGCGGGGAGGAAGGUGUUGCGGUUAAUAACCGCAGCAAUUGACGUUACCCGCAGAAGAAGCACCGGCUAACUCCGUGCCAGCAGCCGCGGUAAUACGGAGGGUGCAAGCGUUAAUCGGAAUUACUGGGCGUAAAGCGCACGCAGGCGG
rnacentral:rRNA from 1 species